UACGUAGGGUCCAAGCGUUAUCCGGAAUUACUGGGCGUAAAGAGUUGCGUAGGUGGCAUGGCAAGCGAAUAGUGAAAUGACGAGGCUCAACCUUGUGUCCAUUAUUUGAACUGCCAAGCUAGAGGACGAGAGAGGUUAUUGGAAUUCCCAGUGUAGGAGUGAAAUCCGUAGAUAUUGGGAGGAACACCGAUGGCGUAGGCAGAUAACUGGCUCGUUUCUGACACUAAGGCACGAAAGCGUGGGGAGCAAACGGG
rnacentral:rRNA from 1 species